UACAGAGGUCUCAAGCGUUGUUCGGAUUCAUUGGGCGUAAAGGGUGCGUAGGUGGCGCUGUAAGUCGGGUGUGAAAUUUCGGAGCUUAACUCCGAAACUGCAUUCGAUACUGCGGUGCUUGAGGACUGGAGAGGAGACUGGAAUUCAUGGUGUAGCAGUGAAAUGCGUAGAUAUCAGGAGGAACACCGGUGGUGUAGACGGCUUUCUGGACCGUAACUGACGCUGAGACACGAAAGCGUGGGUAGCAAACAGG
rnacentral:rRNA from 1 species